AUGAACGCUGGCGGCGUGCCUAAUACAUGCAAGUCGAGCGAACAGACGAGGAGCUUGCUCCUCUGACGUUAGCGGCGGACGGGUGAGUAACACGUGGAUAACCUACCUAUAAGACUGGGAUAACUUCGGGAAACCGGAGCUAAUACCGGAUAAUAUAUUGAACCGCAUGGUUCAAUAGUGAAAGACGGUUUUGCUGUCACUUAUAGAUGGAUCCGCGCCGCAUUAGCUAGUUGGUAAGGUAACGGCUUACCAAGGCAACGAUGCGUAGCCGACCUGAGAGGAUGGUCGGCCACACUGGAACUGAGACACGGUCCAGACUCCUACGGGAGGCAGCAGUAGGGAAUCUUCCGCAAUGGGCGAAAGCCUGACGGAGCAACGCCGCGUGAGUGAUGAAGGUCUUCGGAUCGUAAAACUCUGUUAUUAGGGAAGAACAAAUGUGUAAGUAACUAUGCACGUCUUGACGGUACCUAAUCAGAAAGCCACGGCUAACUACGUG
rnacentral:rRNA from 1 species